UAGGCGUAAAGAAGCGUUCAUAAAUUCAAUAAUAAUAGUUUUGAAUACAGAAUCAUGUCAAAGCUUGCUUAAAAAUCCCCUAAUCCAAUUUAUUUAAGAAAUUAUCCUCUUUGCUUGUGUUUUGCUACCUUCCACUUAGGGCAAAUUUAUCUUUCGCCAAUUGUUAAAUUAUAGUUAUUAAAUUUUAAUAAUUCUAUAUCAUUAUAUCUCUCACUUUACAGGAGACACACAAACAACAAUUGAGAAAGAUGGCUUGGCGACAGGCACCCUGAUUGGAAUCACUGUCGGGGUCUUACUAGCCAUCGGAUUCAUUGGUGGGAUCAUCAUUGUGGUUGUGCGAAAAAUGUCGGGAAGGUACUCGCCCUAAAGAGCCGAAGAAUUGUGUCCUUCUGCCAACAUGUUUUCAAAAGAGAGUUUCCGGCGCCCCCGCCCCCCUGUCCCCCCGAGCAUGUGGGAGAAGAUGAUCCAUAGAAAUGCUUGGCCAGCCCACUCAAGAUCCAUGGUGAUUCCUCUACUUGCCAACAGUAACCGAAGGAAAGAUCAUUCGCUUGCUUCUCCAAGCAUUUGUCUUUUGAGAAUUUUUUUUUUUAAAUGUAAAUUUUGUAAAAGAUGACUUAAAAGACAACGUGCAUAGGAAAUGGAGCAAAACUGUGUCAAUAGAUUCAUAACUAAGAUAGAUAAUGUAAUUCCAUCGAUGUUAGAAACUGUAAUCACGUCUUUGGUCCGACCGUUCACUGUUAUUGUCAAAAUGCAAAGGAAUCUGAAAAUAUUUAUGCCAGCAGAGUCCUUGGGUCUAGUGUUAGGUCAGUAAAUGCCAUGAGCAUUUUUGCAAUUUCCGAUCUGUUGAAAUGUACACAUUCUGGUCCGGUUUGGUCUACUUUUAAAGCCUGACUUGGUGUGAAUAACGAAGUAGGAAAUCGAAACAGGGGUAAAUAUGUAAUGAGCAACUGUCUCUUGCUGUCAGAUAAAUAACUUCCAAGGCAUUUAUUUUAGAUCAUAAACAGGAAAUCCAUACUUUGGAGAAGCCAUUUUGUUUAUCACAGCAAGGCCACCGGGCAGCCUGUAGACUUGCUUUACUAUCUUCUUCCAUGAUGACUUGAUGACUCUCACUUGCCCCCUCCACUUCCCUCAGACGACAGGGAGCCAGAACUAAGGGGGUGGCUAUCUCUCGUUUCCAUGACGUAACUCCUUCAGAUUGGCUGCUUUGUUCUGGAACAUGGAGACCUCAGCCCCGAUGAUGGCCGGGGAGGCUGCUGGAAGCCUAGUGGUGCCCGAGACCCACUCGUUCCAGAAACCAAGAAUCCCAACCAGAAGGAGACCCUGUCUGUGCCUCUGGCAGGGAAAAUAGAACCUGCCAGUUUUCUAACAUUUAUUUUCUGUCUCAGAGGAAAGCUGUGGGAAGCAACACUAAUCCUGUAAGAUAUAAAUUUUUAAAAAGCAGUGGGUUUAAAAAUAGAAGGUAUUCUCCAUCUUCAUGAUAUACCACCUAUUUCUAUGGGGUUAUAAUUAAAAAGAUCACACUAAAGGAGCCUAAGCUGCAAUUCUGUGUUGGCGACAUCCAACCCUUAGUACUUUUCUUCCCAGAGGUCAAUUAAAUGCUUUUUUCCUGAACAAAAAGUGUUCAUACUGAGCAGAUGCUCUGUUGUGACUGCACUGGGCAGUUCUGACAUCCUCUAAACUUGUACGAGUUCAUAAAACAGGAAAAAGUAAACUGUUAAGCGGAAAGCACAGCCUGUUCUUCCCAUUUUUCGCAGCGACGUGUGUGUGUUAUUUUAAACAGUGCCCUUCUGCUGCCCAAGCCCAGCUGGCCCACCAGACCAGGUUCCCUAUUUGAACAUCAGCCGAUUGAGAGAAGGGGGUUUAGAAGAGCUUGGUGAGCUUAUUAUCUUUCCGUUUCAUCACUCAGAUUCCUGAACAGGAGUUGGGAAUAACGUCCAUUUUGUCUUUCCUGGUCUUCCUUUUUUUCUCUCACUGUGAAAAAUAACGGUCCACCCCAAGUCGUACACUGGACCCAUUGCCUGCUGGUGACAGGACCGUGGGUCACAUCUUAGUCACAUCUGUGUUGAUGCUCAAUGCGGUGUAGACAUGUUUUAAAAUAAAACAGACGAUUGCUUACAA